rnacentral:rRNA from 1 species
GUAGGUGGCAAGCGUUGUCCGGAAUUAUUGGGCGUAAAGCGCGCGCAGGCGGUUCUUUAAGUCUGAUGUGAAAGCCCACGGCUCAACCGUGGAGGGUCAUUGGAAACUGGAGAACUUGAGUACAGAAGAGGAAAGCGGAAUUCCACGUGUAGCGGUGAAAUGCGUAGAGAUGUGGAGGAACACCAGUGGCGAAGGCGGCUUUCUGGUCUGUAACUGACGCUGAGGCGCGAAAGCGUGGGGAGCAAACAGGAUUAGAUACCCUGGUAGUCCACGCCGUAAACGAUGAGUGGUAAGUGUUAGGGGGUUUCCGCCCCCUUAGUGCUGCAGCUAACGCAUUAAGCACUCCGCCUGGGGAGUACGGCCGCAAGGCUG